rnacentral:rRNA from 1 species
UAUUAUUAUUAGUGUACUUUUAAAAUUUAGGUAUUAAUAGUUAUGUUCUUUAAACUUAAAAGAUUUGGCGGUGUUUUAAUCUUUUCAGAGGAACCUGUUCUUUAAUCGAUAUUCCACGAUUUAUCUUACUUUUUGUUGUUAUCAAUUUGUAUAUCUCCGUUAUCAGAUUAUCUUUUUAGAGUUGAAAAUUUUCUUGUUUUUAUAUAAAAAGUUAUUUCAGGUCAAGGUGCAGUUUAUCAAAAAGUUUGAAAUGGGUUACAAUAAAUUUAUUUAUUAUGAAUUAUUAAAUGAUAAUUUAAUAUUAAGGUGGAUUUGAUAGUAAAAUUAUUUUAUAAUAGUAAUUUGAUUUUAGUUCUAAAACAUGUACACAUCGCCCGUCGCUCUCGUUAAUAAAAU